rnacentral:sRNA from 1 species
AUAAUAACGAUAGGGCGACCGUGAGGUCGCCCAUAUUGUAUUAGCUUAACGUAUUUGGUUUGGCCGCCGAUCAGUUAAGUAAUAUGCAAAUCUGGCGUUACGCAUAGCUGGCUGUUAGCUUUAUUCCUUACUAUCCAACAAACUAACAGUUUUUGUAACCAAGACCCGAGCAUUGCUUGGGUUUUUUUAU